UACGAAGGGGGCUAGCGUUGCUCGGAAUCACUGGGCGUAAAGGGUGCGUAGGCGGGUCUUUAAGUCAGGGGUGAAAUCCUGGAGCUCAACUCCAGAACUGCCUUUGAUACUGAAGAUCUUGAGUUCGGGAGAGGUGAGUGGAACUGCGAGUGUAGCGGUGAAAUGCGUAGAUAUCGGGAGGAACACCUGUGGCGAAAGCGGCUACCUGGACAAAUGCUGACGCUGAGGCGCGAAAGCGUGGGGAGCAAACAGG
rnacentral:rRNA from 1 species